AUUCAGGGAAACCUAGGGAAAAUCCGUUGGUCUUUGCAGGACCGUGAGGGUUCAAGUCCCUCUAUCCCC
rnacentral:tRNA from 1 species